ensembl:lncRNA
CCCCAUAGGAGAUAGCAGGCAUCCUGUACCUUGUGUCAUUUUCCACAAUGGUGUUGAGCUGGCACAUUAGCAAGCUUGUUCGUCCAGAUGAAGUGGAAUCGUGGCUCCAACUUUGAACAACACAGCUAAAGUCAGAAGAAGCAGGGUCCAGGAAGCAUGGUAGAAGAUAUGAAAUUACUAUAAACCUUCAUUUUGAAUGGCUUCAGGUUUGAGGUGGAUUCUUUACUACUGAGCCACCAAGGAAGACUUUGGGUUGUGGAAGAGGAUUCUGAAGACACUGCUCUGGAUGUCCCGAAAACAGCCCUUCCCAAUUGUGCUCUGCACUCAUUCAGAUGUUUCCACGACCCCAGUGUUUGGACUCUUAGGACUAAUUCUGCAUGAAGUAAGAACUUCUCAUGAACUUUGACUUCCCUGCUGGCUCAGACAACAAAGAAUCUGCCCACAAAGAAGGAGACCCAGGUUCAAUCCCUGGGUCAGAAAUAUCCCCUGGAGAAGGAAAUGGCAACCCACUCCAGUAUUCUUGCCUGGGAAAUCCCAUGGACAGAGGAGCCUGGUGGGCUACAGUC